UACGUAGGGGGCAAGCGUUGUCCGGAUUUAUUGGGCGUAAAGCGCUCGCAGGUGGUCCGUCGCGUCGUGCGUGAAAGACCCCGGCUCAACUGGGGAGGGUCGUGCGAUACGGGCGGACUGGAGGCCAGUAGGGGGAUGCGGAAUUCCGGGUGUAGUGGUGGAAUGCGUAGAGAUCCGGAGGAACACCAGCGGCGAAGGCGGCAUCCUGGACUGGUCCUGACACUCAGGAGCGAAGGCGUGGGGAGCGAUCCGG
rnacentral:rRNA from 1 species